rnacentral:rRNA from 1 species
GACGAACGCUGGCGGCGUGCCUAAUACAUGCAAGUAGGACGCAGUUGCGAACGGGUGAGUAACGCGUAGGUCACUGCCUAUUAAAGGGGGAUAACUACUGGAAAUGAUAGCUAAUACCGCAUACUAGUAGAUUGACCUGCGUUGUAUUAGCUAGUAGGUAGGGUAAUGGCCUACCUAGGCGACGAUACAUAGCCGGCCUGAAGAGGUGAACGUGCAACCUUGGAAUGAGACACGGCCCAGACCCCUACGGGGGGCAGCCGUAGGGAAUCUUCGGAAAUGGGGGGAAAACUGACCGAGCCACGGCGCGUGAGUGAAGGAGGUUUUCGGGUCGUAAAGCUCUGUUGUUAAGGAAGCGUUACUUAACCAGAAAGGGACGGCUAACUACGUGCCAGCAGCCGCGGUAAUAC